GUCCUAAAGAUUAUAAUUUUAGGUCUGGCCUGCCCACUGAAAAUUAAAUGGCCGCAGUAUUUUGACUGUGCUAAGGUAGCAUAAUCAUUAGUUUCUUAAUUAGAAGCUGGAAUGAAAGGUUUGAUGAAAAAUGAAUUGUCUCUUUUAAAUUUGGAUUGAAUUUUAUUUUUGAGUAAAAAAGCUUAAAUGAGUUUAAGGGACGAGAAGACCCUAUAGAGUUUGAUAGUUUAUUAAUUGAAAUUUAUUUAGUAAUUACUAUUUUUUAAAAGAUUAUUUAGUUGGGGUGACUUAAAAAUUGAAUUAACUUUUUGAAAUUAAAACAUUAAUGUAUGAUUAUAUGAUCCUGUUUAAUAGAUUAAAAGAAUAAAUUACCUUAGGGAUAACAGCGUAAUCUUUUAUAGAGUUCUUAUCGAAAAAAGGGAUUGCGACCUCGAUGUUGGAUUAGAAUAAAUUUUAGGUGUAGCUGCUUAAAAAUUAGGUCUGUUCGACCUUUAAAAUUCUACA
rnacentral:rRNA from 1 species